AACGACUCUCGGCAACGGAUAUCUCGGCUCACGCAUCGAUGAAGAACGUAGCAAAAUGCGAUACUUGGUGUGAAUUGCAGAAUCCCGUGAACCAUCGAGUUUUUGAACGCAAGUUGCGCCCGAAACCAUCCGGUCGAGGGCACGCCUGCCUGGGCGUCACGCA
rnacentral:rRNA from 1 species